UACGUAGGGGGCAAGCGUUGUCCGGAUUUAUUGGGCGUAAAGAGCGUGUAGGCGGUUUGGUAGGUCCGCUGUGAAAACUCGAGGCUCAACCUCGAGACGCCGGUGGAAACCAUCAGGCUAGAGUCCGGAAGAGGAGAGUGGAAUUCCUGGUGUAGCGGUGGAAUGCGCAGAUAUCAGGAGGAACACCAACGGCGAAGGCAGCUCGCUGGGACGGUACUGACGCUGAGGCGCGAAAGCGUGGGGAGCGAACAGG
rnacentral:rRNA from 1 species